UCCCUCGUGGCGCAAUUGGCUAGCGCGUUCGACUGUUACAAGCACUUCAAAAUGCAUAAGAGAUCGAGAGGUUGGUGGUUCGAGCCCACCCGAGGGAG
rnacentral:tRNA from 1 species